rnacentral:rRNA from 1 species
AGCGAACGUUUGCGGCGGGCCUAACACAUGCAAGUCGAACGCACUAGCAAUAGUGAGUGGCGCACGGGUGCGUAACACGUGGGUAAUCAACCCUUCAGCCUGGGAUAACGACUCGAAAGGGUCGCUAAUACCGGAUACGGCGCGAGAGGCUUCGGCUUCUCACGAGAAAGCCACGCAAGGGGCACUGAAGGACGAGCCUGCGGCCCAUCAGCUAGUUGGUGAGGUAAGAGCUCACCAAGGCUAAGACGGGUAGCUGGUCUGAGAGGAUGAUCAGCCACACUGGAACUGAGACACGGUCCAGACUCCUACGGGAGGCAGCAGUGGGGAAUAUUGCGCAAUGGGCGAAAGCCUGACGCAGCCACGCCGCGUGAGCGAUGAAGGCCUUCGGGUCGUAAAGCGUCUGUGGGAGGAGACGAAGAAAGACCUGUGAGAGCAGGCCUUGACGGUAGUCUCCUUA